GACGAACGCUGGCGGCGUGCUUAACACAUGCAAGUCGAACGGAAAGGCCCUGCUUUUGUGGGGUGCUCGAGUGGCGAACGGGUGAGUAACACGUGAGUAACCUGCCCUUGACUUUGGGAUAACUUCAGGAAACUGGGGCUAAUACCGGAUAGGAGCUCCUGCUGCAUGGUGGGGGUUGGAAAGUUUCGGCGGUUGGGGAUGGACUCGCGGCUUAUCAGCUUGUUGGUGGGGUAGUGGCUUACCAAGGCUUUGACGGGUAGCCGGCCUGAGAGGGUGACCGGCCACAUGGGGACUGGGAUACGGCCCAGACUCCUACGGGGGGCAGCAGUGGGGAAUAUUGCACAAGGGGCGGAAGCCGGAGGCAGCAACGCCGCGUGCGGGAUGACGGCCUUCGGGUGGUAAACCGCUUUCGCCUGUGACGAGGCGUGAGGAACGGGAAUGGGUAAAGAAGCACCGGCAAACUACGG
rnacentral:rRNA from 1 species